rnacentral:rRNA from 1 species
UACGGAAGGUCCGGGCGUUAUCCGGAUUCAUUGGGUUUAAAGGGUGCGCAGGCGGGGUGUCAAGUCAGCCGUAAAAUGUCCGGGCUCAACCCGGUCCCGCGGUUGAAACUGGCGUCCUUGAGUGUGGCGGAGGGAGCCGGAAUUCGUGGUGUAGCGGUGAAAUGCAUAGAUAUCACGAGGAACUCCGAUUGCGAAGGCAGGCUUCCGCGCCGCUACUGACGCUCAUGCACGAAGGCGCGGGUAUC